rnacentral:rRNA from 1 species
GCGCGGGAAGCGAGUGGAUCCCUUCGGGGUGAAGCUCGUGGAACGAGCGGCGGACGGGUGAGUAACACGUGGGCAACCUGCCUGUAAGACCGGAAUAACCCCGGGAAACCGGGGCUAAUGCCGGGUAAUACUUUUCUUCGCAUGAAGGAAAGUUGAAAGAUGGCUUCUUGCUAUCACUUACAGAUGGGCCCGCGGCGCAUUAGCUAGUUGGUGAGGUAACGGCUCACCAAGGCGACGAUGCGUAGCCGACCUGAGAGGGUGAUCGGCCACACUGGGACUGAGACACGGCCCAGACUCCUACGGGAGGCAGCAGUAGGGAAUCUUCCGCAAUGGACGAAAGUCUGACGGAGCAACGCCGCGUGAACGAUGAAGGUCUUCGGAUCGUAAAGUUCUGUUGUUAGGGAAGAACAAGUACCGUGCGAAUAGAGCGGUACCUUGACGGUACCUAACGAGGAAGCCCCGGCUAACUACGUGCCAGCAGCCGCGGUAAUACGUAGGGGGCAAGCGUUGUCCGGAAUUAUUGGGCGUAAAGCGCGCGCAGGCGGUUCCUUAAGUCUGAUGUGAAAGCCCACGGCUCAACCGUGGAGGGUCAUUGGAAACUGGGGAACUUGAGGACAGAAGAGGAGAGUGGAAUUCCACGUGUAGCGGUGAAAUG